GGGGUUGUGGCUCGGUGGCAGAGCACUUGCCUCAUGGGUAUGAGGCCCUGGGUUCGAUCCUCAGCACCA
rnacentral:tRNA from 1 species